rnacentral:tRNA from 1 species
GGGGAUUUAGCUCAGCGGUAGAGCACUUGCCUGCGAAGCGCAAGGCCCUGGGUUCGGUCCCCAGCUCCG